UACAGAGGUCUCAAGCGUUGUUCGGAUUCAUUGGGCGUAAAGGGUGCGUAGGUGGCGUCGUAAGUCAGGUGUGAAAUUUCGGAGCUUAACUCCGAAACUGCAUUUGAUACUGCGGUGCUUGAGGACUGGAGAGGAGACUGGAAUUCACGGUGUAGCAGUGAAAUGCGUAGGUAUCGUGAGGAAGACCAGUGGCGAAGGCGGGUCUCUGGACAGUUCCUGACACUGAGGCACGAAGGCCAGGGGAGCAAACGGG
rnacentral:rRNA from 1 species